UUGGAUGCUUGAAAAAUGCCGUUUAUGCUCAAAUUGAAAUUGUGCUCUGUUUUAGUACUACGUACUCUUUUUUUGCGGACACAGUAUCAUGCGGAUAGGCGAACCUUAGAUACUAUAGAACCUUAAUUCAUGUUGAUGGUCACCCCAACUGAAUUUAGUCUCUUCACGGGAUUGGAGUUCAGUUCCACUACGCUGUCGUUCGACAGCAACAUCAACGUCUACUCUCCUGAGGUUGAUGAGCUACUGGGUCCGAUCGCUGUUCGGGCCCGUGCUGAGGUGGAGUCAUCACAGUUCAGCGCCAAGGGUAUUCGCCGGUCGACUUUGGCGGCAGCUUUUGAGGAUGAUGCGACCACCCGAGAGCAGCGGGUGCGCAUCUUUGCGCUUAUCUUGCUGUCUGACAAGGGUAGUAGAGUGCUGCUUUACUAGCUUCCUACAGUCCGUGAUCUUCACAAGAUCGGGACUGACGACAGGGCCAGCUUGGCCGAUGGUUUUUUUUUUUCGAGUGUUGCGAGACUCGUGUCGACAUCAAUCCUACACAGGGAACGUCGCUCUGUCCAGCUUCUGGAGAGUCGUACAGAUUUGGUUAUACGAGUACUUUCCUUCACUCGCGCUGGCAAGAUCGUCGCCACGCGGGUUUCUCGCAAGCGCUUGCAGGGGAGGCCGCCACGUUCGGGCGUCUACCUCCCAUGUUCGGGAGCAGAUCCUCUCGGAGCCUGAUGUGCAGUACCGGCCGUGGAACGACUUGGUUGUCCUUGGGUUAGCCGCGCAAUACACUGGCGUACCUUUAUCUUUGGUGACACCUUUCUUCCUAGGCAUUGCAGGUCGGAGAGGGCUGGUACCCCUUGGUGAUCUCAUGCAAUCCUAGGGUAGUGCUAUGAGGAGGAGUUGCUACCGUUGUUAGCUCCGGCUCCUGUUCUGUCUGAGGAGGCGGAGGAUGAUUUUCAUCUUCUACCUUUUGCUAAGUAGCCCCCAAGUGAUAUUUUACUAACUCUGGUUUGUUUUUGUCAAGCUGGGCCUACUGAGUUUGUGCCCCCUUGUAUGUCCACCCAUUACCAGGCGACAUACGGGCCUAUCGAGGAGAUGAUUCCUCCGGCUCCCGAGGAUCAGCGCUUUGUGGAGCGAUCGAUUCAACGCCACCAGACUCGGUUCUCGCGCGAGGUGGUCACGGCGAUGGCGAGGUGUCUAGAUGCCUUGCGUAGCCAGCUCGUUCGGAUGAGGAACGUGGCUACGUGUUGUCGCGACGACGCUGUUCAGGAGGGUCAGCCCAUUCCUUCCUGUACUAGGACGAGACCUGAGGUCCGAACAGAGCCGGCAAGGUCUAGCUCGAGGCGUCGCCGUACUAAAACUGGCGGUCGGGGUGGACGAUGUGAGGCUACCCAGACCAAGGUGGUGGAGGGCUCGAGGUCUUUAUCUGAGGGUGCACGUGCUGAGCCGAUAGGCCAGGGAGAGGCUACCUCGGCUCCUAGAGGUGGUUGGAUAUACGAGGCCGGCUCGUCAUCGCAGGAGCCUCAACAGCCUCAGCCUCUAUCAAUUCAUUAGGGGAACCUUGGGUGGACGGGUCCUGUGCUGAGUUUUACUCCUUCUGGAGAGACUAGAUCUGGUGGAGAGCAUACUCCUCGUACUGCGCAAUCCUUUGAUGGGCGUCCCUCAUCAUCUGCGUCCUCCAGCGCCGUAGUUUGUACCUGUGUUUUUUAUAUUUUGACUUGUAUAGAACAUUGCAUAAUAGAAUUAUUAAUUAGACAUAUUUGUAUAUACAUAUUUAUUAUGACUUUAUUUAUCUUGCAUUUAUUUUUCAUUUUUA